AGCGACUAAGCGCUAUCGGAAGGGUGAAGGCCCUGAGCCAUGCACCCAGAAGGGCAAGGCGCCAGCAAAGUGCCCGAGUCAGACGAGCUCAGACUCGCCCACCCAGCUGAGACGCCUCUCCGACGGGGAGGAGGAUUUUCCUUUAGACGAAUGACCGGCAGACCAGUCGCCCCCCUUGGAAGAUGAGGACAGGUGGGGUGAGGACGAG